CCCUAGGUCCCCACCUGGGGGAUGGCUCAGCACCCCCUCCCCCGCCCCAGGGACCAGGCCCUGAACCUUGUUUGCCUGCACGUUCUUUUUAUUUCUCUGGGACUGUUCUCACCCGCCUGUGAGUCUGAAGCAAUAAACUUUAUGGCCGGAUUUAACUUUAGUCUUUGAAUCCCCAGGCUAAUUGAAAGGGGUUAAAAACGCUUUCUUUUCUUCCGCCUUGCCCGUUCUCCCGCUCUUCUUUCCGUUUCCUCUCCUUCUUUGUAGAAUUAAAACACAGGACCCUCAAAAGGCAAAUUAGGCAUCCCCCUAGGUAACACUGAAGAUUAGAGCAAUUUACUCCCCCUCAGCAUACAGACAAAUUCUUUUUUUCCAAACUGUGCCCUAAAGUUUGGGGGGAAAUCGAGGUGUCUUCAAUGCUCAACUUAAAAGUCCCUAGAGCCAUUAGGUUGUUUUUCCUGACACAUCAUAAAGGGUAGUUUAGGAAAGAAAUUGGUAGUUUGUCAGUAGGAGAUUUCCGCCUCUCUUUUGUUAGUUGCUCUUUCUGUUUGAUCCCAGGAAAUUUACAUAAUCUGUGAUUUCCAAAACAGUCUCCAAAAUUGCACCAAUGGGUGAAGUAAGGUGAAAUGAAUUUUUCCCGGGUACAAUUCCAUCUUGGUCCCAGCUACCCCUUCUGGCCCCAGCCCCCUACAUUCUUCAAUGGCACAACUAAGCCAAGUGACUGGGGACAUAGUGGCCUGUCUUGGUGUCUUUUUCUGGGUGGGCACCCAAAAGGGACCUAAAAGAUUUCCCCCCAAUCCUGUCUGAGGAGUUAAGCC
rnacentral:lncRNA from 1 species